UACAGAGGUCUCAAGCGUUGUUCGGAUUCAUUGGGCGUAAAGGGCGCGUAGGCGGUGCGGCAAGUCACCUGUGAAACCUCUGGGCUUAACCCAGAGCCUGCAGGCGAAACUGCCGUGCUGGAGUGUGGGAGAGGUGCGUGGAAUUCCCGGUGUAGCGGUGAAAUGCGUAGAUAUCGGGGAGGAACACCUGUGGCGAAAGCGGCGCACUGGACCGACAACUGACGCUGAGGCGCGAAAGCUAGGGGAGCAAACAGG
rnacentral:rRNA from 1 species